rnacentral:rRNA from 1 species
CAGCCGCCACGGUAAUACAGAGGGUGCGAGCGUUAAUCGGAUUUACUGGGCGUAAAGCGUGCGUAGGCGGCUUUUUAAGUCGGAUGUGAAAUCCCUGAGCUUAACUUAGGAAUUGCAUUCGAUACUGGGAAGCUAGAGUAUGGGAGAGGAUGGUAGAAUUCCAGGUGUAGCGGUGAAAUGCGUAGAGAUCUGGAGGAAUACCGAUGGCGAAGGCAGCCAUCUGGCCUAAUACUGACGCUGAGGUACGAAAGCAUGGGGAGCAAACAGGAUUAGAUACCCCGGUAGUCCCUGUCUCUUAUAU